UUACCGUAGGUGAACCUGCGGAAGGAUCAUUAAAAAUGAAGCCGGGAAACCGGUCCUUCUCACCCUUGAUUAUCUCAAUUUGUUGCUUUGGUGGGCCGCGCAAGCACCGGCUUCGGCUGGAUCGUGCCCGCCAGAGGACCACAACUCUGUAUUAUAUGUCGUCUGAGUACUAUAAAAUAGUUAAAACUUUCAACAACGGAUCUCUUGGUUCUG
rnacentral:misc_RNA from 1 species